AAUGAACGCUGGCGGCAGGCCUAACACAUGCAAGUCGAACGGGUCCUUCGGGACUAGUGACGGACGGGUGAGUAACGCGUGGGAACGUGCCCCUUGGUACGGAAUAGCCCCGGGAAACUGGGAGUAAUACCGUAUGUGGUCGAGAGACGAAAGAUUUAUCGCCAAGGGAUCGGCCCGCGUUGGAUUAGGUAGUUGGUGGGGUAAUGGCCUACCAAGCCGACGAUCCAUAGCUGGUUUGAGAGGAUGAUCAGCCACACUGGGACUGAGACACGGCCCAGACUCCUACGGGAGGCAGCAGUGGGGAAUCUUAGACAAUGGGGGAAACCCUGAUCUAGCCAUGCCGCGUGAUCGAUGAAGGCCUUAGGGUUGUAAAGAUCUUUCAGGUGGGAAGAUAAUGACUGUACCACCAGAAGAAGCCCCGGCUAACUCCGCGCCAGCCGCCGCGGUAAAAC
rnacentral:rRNA from 1 species